UCUAAACGACUCUCGGCAACGGAUAUCUCGGCUCUCGCAUCGAUGAAGAACGUAGCGAAAUGCGAUACUUGGUGUGAAUUGCAGAAUCCCGUGAACCAUCGAGUUUUUGAACGCAAGUUGCGCCCAAAGCCUUUUGGCCGAGGGCACGCCUGCCUGGGCGUCA
rnacentral:rRNA from 8 species